CUAAACCCACUGCUCGCCAGAGAACUACAAGUAAAAACUUAAAACUCAAAGGACUUGACGGCAUACCAUAUCACCCUAGAGGAGCCUGUCCUAUAAUCGAUAACCCACGCUACACCUCACCUGUUCUUGCACUAUGCUCAGCCUAUAUACCGCCGCCUUCAGCCCGCCUUACAAAAGCACAAACAGCGAGCAAAACAGCCACCACUAACACGCCAGGUCAAGGUGUAGCCAACGAACAGGAAGAGAUGGGCUACAUUUUCUAACUUAGACAACACCGACAGCAACAUGAAACACCCGCCUAAAGGUGGAUUUAGAAGUAAGCCAGGCAAGAUAUGCCUGACUGAACCUAGCUCUGGAAUGCGUACACACCGCCCGUCACCCCCUCCUCAA
rnacentral:rRNA from 1 species